rnacentral:tRNA from 2 species
GGGCGAUUAGCUCAGUUGGGAGAGCGUCCGGUUUACACCCGGGAGGUCGGCGGUUCGAGCCCGUCAUCGCCCACCA